rnacentral:rRNA from 1 species
AACGUAGGUGGCAAGCGUUAUCCGGAUUUACUGGGCGUAAAGCGUGUGCAGGCGGGGGUACAAGUGGUGUAUGAAAUUUCCCAGCUUAACUGGGAAGGGUUAUGCCAGACUGUACUUCUAGAGUGCGAGAGAGGGGCGUGGAAUUCCGGGUGUAGUGGUGAAAUGCGUAGAGAUCCGGAGGAACACCAGAGGCGAAGGCGGCAACCUGGCUCGUAACUGACGCUCAUACACGACAGCAUGGGGAGCGAACGGG